rnacentral:lncRNA from 1 species
CUUGGUAUGGUUAUUUCCCCAACUUAGUGAUGCCCAGAAUCUCAGCUAGAAUCCUUCAACCCUCCACAACUGUCCUUUUUUGACCUACAAUAACCUCCUAGCUCUUCUAGGUCCUGAUUGGCCGAUAGAGAGAUCAGGUGAUGGAGGCCCUCUAGCGUUCCAGUCGGAUCCUGAGUCACAGGCUCCCUGCUGGAAUGCCGCAGGUCUGAUCUGUCGGCUCGAGAACUUUUUCCAUUUCCAACUCCAGCCUAUCUUCUCCAGGGGAAAGAGCAACGACGUCAGAGGUCAUGGUGACUCAGAUUCCAGCCCUGACCAGGAUGGCCACCUACUUCCUCACCUGUAGAUUAGGUGUGAUGAAAUUUCACAGGUUGCCUGGGCAACCAAGAGCCGUCUCCCAAAUGAGGAGAGCAGAGGAUGAGGCAUGGGAGACACCCCCCCCCAAUUCUUGGGGUCUUUAAAUUCUAGUGUGGGAUACCCAGAUUGUAAAUUGGCAAACUGGAAAACAAUCAACUUCAGUGUUAAAUACUAUGAUUAAAAUAUGGGCCCGAAGGCCUGGUGUGCUAAUCCAUAACCUUGCUGACACGUAGUAGGUACUCAGCAAAUACUUGUUCAAAGACUAGAGCUGAGUGGGUGGCUAGUCUCACAGGAAUGGAACCCCAAAACGGAGGCCCGUGGAACUGAAGAGCCACGGGUGCAACGACUGGCGAGCAUUAGAGAAAGUGAAAGAACGAUCAGUAGGCGUGGGUGUUGCAAAUUUCACCGAGCAGUGUGCACAGGAGGGGGAGGCACCUUCUGGGACAGGCUCUUUUCAAGUGUGGCGGCAAAAUUUGGGAAGCUUCCCCUUCAAGUGUGUGCUCGAACUCCCCUCAUGCCAGCCCAGCCCCUGGUGAGCACUCUCUGCAGAGCCCUCCUGUGCCCCGCGCUCUCGCUUCCUGGGGAGCGGGAGACACAGACGUGCGGGUCCCGUCCCGAGGCCAGCACCCGGGCGAUGGCUUUGGUGGCUUAGGUGGCGGUGCGCCCGGCCCAGCCCGGAAGGCCGGGGCCCUAGGGCUGCGCAGGCGGGACCGGCUCGGGCCGGUGUGGGGCGGCUGGGCCAGGGAGAGGACCGGCCCGGAGCGCCAGGGCGGGAGCAGCGGGGCUGCCAGGAGUUCGGACGUCGUCCCAUCCGUCGCUGCCGCCUCAAGUGCCAGGAGCCCGUGCAUGUGCUAGACAAACCACCCUGUCAAUGAGCUUGGAAUCUGAAGUCACACCGGCCUAGGGUAGGACUACAGCAUGCCAGUGAUGUGACCUUCACUUUUGGUAAGUGUUGGCUUCCUCAGGUCAAGUGGGGACCAGGACAGUGCCUUCCUCCCAAGGCUGCUGUGAA